GCCUGUCCUUGGAAAGGGUGUCUGAGGGCUCAGGCUGAGGGCGGGGGCAAAGUUUAGGGGUCUAGGGGAAAAACAGUAGCUGAACCAGGUCUGGCCAACAAGCAUUUCCUCCGCUUGGUCAGUGGAGAUCUUUAGUUCAGCCCAAUCAAUGAUCAUAAGCAUGAUGGGGAUUGGGGAGCAUCUGUUUCAGCCUUAUCUUGGAUAAACAAGGGGAAGGGUGUUCUUAAGUGUGCCCUUUUUCCAGAACAAGUGGAUGAAGGGGAUCCUUCUAUCUUCCUUGGAUGUUUCGAGGAGCACAGGACUCAGGGAGGAUUCCACAUUGUCACCUGAUACCUAUGAGCAGCCUGUGUCCAGCUCAGCACUAAGAGCUUUCCCUUAUUCCAGCCUCAGGUUUCAAUAGAUGUAAGAUGACUGAAUUCCUUCUGCCAUUUUCUCCAUGAUAGUGAGUGAGUUAGUGUCUCAGAUCUGUUCGUUCUGUCCUGCGAACCCCUGUUUUUAUGGGGCUGAACCAGAGAAGCUGCUGGGUGGCCUGCAGACUCCAGAACCACCCAAAAGUGUUGGGUGCUUAGAGAAGCCACAGAGCCCGAGAGAGGGAGACCCACCUGCAGAUGGGCUGGGAUGGCUUGUGGCUACCUAGGGUUGCUUCCUAAAGCUUGGUUUUGGCAUCCUGCACAGAGCUGGCGGAGUUAGCUGGGAUUUGUGCAAACCGAGUUCCAAGCACUUGCCAUCACUGAGUGUACUGCAUUUGGUUCACUUGCUUAUUGCUAUUUCCCAUGAGAACGAGAGCUCAGGAGUCCUAGGAAUUGAGCCCAGUUUCCUGACUGUUAGCCUUCCCCAUUUCCCACACACACUGAUUUGUAAAUGUCCACAAUCUGCUUGUGGUGAAGAGGUUGUUGAAAUGGAAUAUGUGGGAAAUUUCAGGUCAUGGUGGUCUUUGCGGAUGUGGCUAUGAACUUCAGCCCAGAAGAGUGGGCUUUGCUGGAUCAUUCAUUCUGAGAAGAAGCUCUACAGAGAUGUGAUGCUGGAGACCUUCAGGAGCCUGGCUUCCAUGGAAUGUUCCAUGCACAAAACCAGUAGAUCAUGUUCUCGGUGGAAUAUUUUGGGGACUGAAAUAUCCAGUGAAGACAACAUAGUAAGAUUCACAAGAAACGAUUCCUGCUCUGUUUCUGGAGAACACUGGGCAUUUCAUGACGCUGGAGACCAGCGCCAAACCCAUGGGAAGCAUUUGAGAAGUCACAUGCUGGAGGCUCCCUGUGAGAGGGGUGAAGCUCAUCCAUGCAGAGACACCCUGAACCCGGUCACAGAUCUUCCUGUGGGGGAGGGACACCUACCUGGAGUUAAACCCCAGGAAUGCACUAAGUGUGGAAAACCCACUCGAGUCAGCCAAGGUCUCCCACUGGACUCAAACCUCAUCCCUGUGAGGAAUGUGGACAAGCCUGCACGUGCAUCUCGUGUCCAAGCCCUCACGUGGAACCAGAGUGUGUGCACAAACCCUGUCACUGUGGGGACACUGGGAGAGCAUCUGAGAGAUACGUGAAGAGCCUCAGUAAUACAAACUCCAUCGAGUGUCAGGAAUGUGGAAAAACCUUCACUCGCCACUCCUCCUUUUGGGGACACGUGAGAGGUCACUGUGGACAGAAAACUCAUGCUUGCAAAGUAUGUGGGAAAGCCUUUAGAUAUUAUUCCUGCCUUACAUGACAUGUUAGAACGCACACUGGAGAGUAGCCCUGUGACUGUAAGUGUUGUGGAAAAGCUUUCAGCUGUAACUCCUGCCUACGAGAACACAUGAGCACGCACACUGGGGAGAAACCCUAUGAGUGUAAGAAGUGUGGGAAAGCCUUUGGUUGUCCCAAAUACUUCAGAAGACAUGUGAAAACGCAUAGUGGAGUGAAACCCUAUGAAUGUCUGGAAUGUGGGGAAGCCUACAGUUGUUCCUCUUCCCUUCGAGAACAUGUGAGAACGCACAGCGAAGAGAAACCCUACGAAUGCCAGGUGUGUGGGAAAGCUUUUAGGCGUCUCAAUAUUUUCAAAGCCACAUGAGAAUGCGUAGUGGAGUGAAAGCGUAUAAAUGUGAAAAUUGUGGGAAAGCUUACAGUUGUUCCUCCUCCCUUCAAGAACAUGCGAGAAUGCACACUGGGGAGAGGCCCUUUGAAUGUGAGCACUGUGGGAAAGCCUUCAGUCAUCACUCCUCCCUCUGAGGCCAUGUGAGAACGCACACCAGGGAGAAAUAUGAGUGUACCUGGGUGGAAAAGCCUCCCACUGGUCCUCAUCCUUACAAAAACACACGAGGACGCAUUAUAAAGAGAAACCCUGUGAGUGCCAGGAGUGUGGCAGAGCCUUCUGGUAUCCCACCAACCUGUGAGCUCAUGUGAGGACACACAGUGGGGUGAAAACCUGAACACAAGGGCUGUGGAAAGCCUUUGUUCUUCCUUAAAACCUUGUAAAUUCGAGCAAACACACUGGAGAGGAACCUUAUGAAUGGAAGGAGUUUGGAGAAACCUUUAGAAGUACCCAUCACUUACUUUGUACAUGCAAACUCAGGGCAGGAUGGAAAUCUUUUAUUUAUUAUACUUGUAAAGAUGAUUUUGACUUUGUAAGUGUGUGCGUUGCAUGUCGUUGAGUUGGCUUCAGCUCUGGUGGUCCUAUGAAUGAGCCCACGGCAUCCUGUUUUUGACUGCCCUGCUUAGCUGCUGUAGAGUCACUUCUUUUAUGGAGUCAGUUCAUUUCAUGGUUGGUCCUCUGUUUCCCUGCUGCAUUGUUGUGUUUUCCAAGCAUUAUUGUGCUUUCCAAAGAACCCUGCCUUCUCAUGAUGUGCCUGGAGUAAGAGAACUUCGGUUUUGUCAUUUUUGCCUCCAGUGAUGUUUCAGGCUUCUUUUGCUCUGAGACCCGCUUGUUAAUCUUACUGAUGGUUCAGAGUAACUGUAGAGGUCUCCCCCAACACCAUAUUUCAAGUGAGUUGAUCUUUUCCCCAUCAGCCUCCUUCACUCUCCAGCUUUUGCACUCAUACACAUUCAUUGGGAACACCGGGUUGCUUAGCUUCGGUCUGUAAUGACACAGCUUUGCUCUGAGAUCUUUCCUAAUUCUUCCAUUGCUGUCCUUCUGAGUCUCAGCCUUCUCUAGAUUUCUUUGCUGCAGUCUUUAUUUAACUUGAUGAAUGAAGCAAAGGUAAGCAAAAUCUUCAACAAUUUCUGCAUGUUCAUUGUCUAUGUUAAAGUUAUUUCUUCUGUAGUUAUACUUUUCAUAUUCUUGAUGUUCAAAUGUAGUGUUGCCUGUCUCAUUUUUGUUAUAAUUUCUUUUGGACCUGGGGUAAUCUUGGUUUUUGCUUUUUUAUUUUCUGUGCAACUUAAUACAAUUUCAGAUGAAAAAAUGUAGAUUCUCUACUUUACAUUAUGUUUCUAGUAUGUGAUCACUUGUAUUGUUAAAAUUUCUCUUUUGGUCCAGUGUUACAGACUCAGGAGUUUUUUGACCUGAUAUCCACCCCCCACUUUACUCUGGUUUACCGAAAGAUACAUCUUCUACAUUUGUUGCUGGUGGGUGCCACACACGUGUUUUGCACAGAAAUUAGUAGUUGUUGAAAGAUUUUGGAAGAAGACAGUCUCAUCUGAUUAUGUUCAUGAUUUGGCCUCUGCUCACUGUCCUUGAUCUUGGUUGGGAAUCUGACGUGAUGCAUUGAGUUUACAAAAAGAAACCUUGUGGUGUAAAGGUGAAAGCUGUGUCCCAAUUAUUCCACUGAAUCCUGUCAUCAGCAUGGGUGAAGUGGGAAACUUUAUUUCAUUGUCCUUUGGUUUGUGGUUCUGAGCUAAAGUUCCUGGGAAGAGGAAGAUGCAUGGGGUUUGGAAGGCAGACGUGAAGAAGCCAUGGCCCUCAGAUGUUCUGUACUAUCAGCAGACAGGGGUGUGGGAACCCAGCGGGCCUGACUUAGGGUGCAUUCUUCUCAUUUCUGGCUCUGCCCAGCUGGAACUAUUGCAACCAAACGCACGUUUGAUGUUACUUCCCCCUUAGGCAGCAGAUCCUGCACACCUUUGCACAAACUUCCCAUUGUGGAUAUUUUGGGUGUGGAGGUUCAUACAGAUCCUUGCAUUUCCCCAUAGCUCUCUGGUUUUCCAUCAGGCUUCUUUCUCAAAUGACCACUCUUAGUGAUCUUUUCUCAUUUUCAAACCCCCUUCUUUGUUUUUGCUAAUAUGAUUUCUGCAGGAAGCAUCUUGUUCCUCCAACAGAAGACCUGUUUCCUGCCUCCUGACACUGUUAACACUGCAGGCGCAAAUGCUGGACACUUACUUUCCUUAUGGUGUUGAGAGACUGCGUUCCUUUUUCUGGAGACUUCCAGGGUUGAAAUAAGUAUUUGUGAACAUAUUUGAUAGUUUUUGUGUUUUCUUUCACAGCUGGAUUUUCUCUAAAUGACAAGCCCAAUUUGUUUAGUUACUUUCCAUAUUUAUAUGUGGCUACCAAUGUGUUUUUUUCAUUUUUUAUAUGUGAGUCAAAACAACGUACAUUUUUGUCAAAUAUAGUUUUCUACAUUGUUUCUUAUGAAGCUAUUAUUACCUAGGUUUUCAAAUCAGCUGCAUACUAACAAUAUUAGAU